rnacentral:rRNA from 1 species
ACGGGAGGCAGCAGUGGGGGAUAUUGCGCAAUGGGGGCAACCCUGACGCAGCAACGCCGCGUGAAGGAUGAAGGUUUUCGGAUUGUAAACUUCUUUUAUUAAGGACGAAAAAUGACGGUACUUAAUGAAUAAGCUCCGGCUAACUACGUGCCAGCAGCCGCGGUAAUACGUAGGGAGCAAGCGUUGUCCGGAUUUACUGGGUGUAAAGGGUGCGUAGGCGGCUUUGCAAGUCAGAUGUGAAAUCUAUGGGCUCAACCCAUAAACUGCAUUUGAAACUGUAGAGCUUGAGUGAAGUAGAGGCAGGCGGAAUUCCCCGUGUAGCGGUGAAAUGCGUAGAGAUGGGGAGGAACACCAGUGGCGAAGGCGGCCUGCUGGGCUUUAACUGACGCUGAGGCACGAAAGCGUGGGUAGCAAACAGGAUUAGAUACCCUGGUAGUCCACGCUGUAAACGAUGAUUACUAGGUGUGGGGGGUCUGACCCCUUCCGUGCC